rnacentral:rRNA from 1 species
GCUUUAGAUCCACCUAGAGGAGCCUGUUCUAGAACCGAUAACCCCCGUUUAACCUCACCUCCCCUUGUUAAUACCGCCUAUAUACCACCGUCGUCAGCUUACCCUGUGAGGGACUAAUAGUAAGCUAAACUGGUAUAACCCUAAACGUCAGGUCGAGGUGUAGCGUAUGAGGAGGGAAGAAAUGGGCUACAUUCGCUACAAAUAGCGAACACGAAUGAUGUCCUGAAACGUACAUCUGAAGGAGGAUUUAGCAGUAAGUAGAAAAUAGAGUGUUCUACUGAAAUUGGCCCUGAAGCGCGC